GAUGUCGGGCGGUAGAGAGAAGCUUGCUUCUCUUGAGAGCGGAGGACGGGUAAGUAAUGCCUAGGAAUCUGCCUGGGAGUGGGGGAUAACGGUCGGAAACGGACGCUAGUACCGCAUACGUCCUACGGGUAGAAAGCAGGGGACCUUCGGGCCUUGCGCUAUCAGAUGAGCCUAGGUCGGAUUAGCUAGUUGGUGGGGUAAUGGCUCACCAAGGCGACGAUCCGUAACUGGUCUGAGAGGAUGAUCAGUCACACUGGAACUGAGACAGGGUCCAAACUAAUACGGGAGGCAGCAGUGGGGAAUAUUGGACAAUGGGCGAAAGCCUGAUCCAGCCAUGCCGCGUGUGUGAAGAAGGUCUUCGGAUUGUAAAGCACUUUAAGUUGGGAGGAAGGGUUGUAGAUUAAUACUCUGCAAUUUUGACGUUACCGACAGAAUAAGCACCGGCUAACUCUGUGCCAGCAGCCGCGGUAAUACAGAGGGUGCAAGCGUUAAUCGGAAUUACUGGGCGUAAAGCGCGCGUAGGUGGUUUGUUAAGUUGGAUGUGAAAUCCCCGGGCUCAACCUGGGAACUGCAUUCAAAACUGACUGACUAGAGUAUGGUAGAGGGUGGUGGAAUUUCCUGUGUAGCGGUGAAAUGCGUAGAUAUAGGAAGGAACACCAGUGGCGAAGGCGACCACCUGGACUAAUACUGACACUGAGGUGCGAAAGCGUGGGGAGCAAACAGGAUUAGAUACCCUGUUAGUCCACGCCCGUAAACGAUGUCAACUAGCCGUUGGAAGCCUUGAGCUUUUAGUUGUCGCAGCUAACGCAUAAAGUUGACCGCCUGGGGAGUACGGCCGCAAGGUUUAAACUCAAAUUGAAUUGACCGGGGCC
rnacentral:rRNA from 1 species